rnacentral:rRNA from 1 species
UUAGGAAUCUUGCACAAUGGGGGAAACCCUGAUGCAGCGACGCCGCGUGGAGGAUGAAGGAUUUAGGUCUGUAAACUCCUUUUGCCAGGAAAGACUCAGGACGGUACCUGGCGAAUAAGCUCCGGCUAACUACGUGCCAGCAGCCGCGGUAAUACGUAGGGAGCAAGCGUUGUCCGGAUUUACUGGGCGUAAAGCGCGCGUAGGCGGUCUGUUAAGUGUGAAGUGAAAUCUCCAGAGCUCAACUCGGAAACUGCUUCGCAUACUGGCAGACUAGAGGGAGGAAGAGGCAGAUAGAAUUCCCGGUGUAGCGGUGACAUGCUUUGAUAUCGGGAGGAAUACCAAUGGCGAAGGCAGUCUGCUGGUCCUUUUCUGACGCUGAGGUGCGAAAGCGUGGGUAGCA